ACGCUCGACACCUACGGGAGGCAGCAGUGGGGAAUAUUGGGCAAUGGGCGCAAGCCUGACCCAGCAACGCCGCGUGAAGGAAGAAGGCCCUCGGGUUGUAAACUUCUUUUAACAGGGACGAAGCAAGUGACGGUACCUGUUGAAUAAGCCACGGCUAACUACGUGCCUGCAGCCGCGGUAAUCUGAGCGGGCUGGCAAGGC
rnacentral:rRNA from 1 species